GCCUGAAUAUUAUGAUUAUGGUCAUGGAACAAGUGAAAGACGCCUAUGACAGCUAUGUACAAGAAGAAUGGGCAACCACCCGUUCCAGUCUAAAGGCACCACCACCAAGGUCAGCCAGAGGGGGAUACAGGGAACAUCCCUAUGGUAGAUAUUGAAGGUCUUCCUCAUCUGUGACCUCACCUCAAAGACAAUUAAUAGCCUGUGGUCUCCACAUAAACGGCAACAAGACAAGUAAUAGUCCAUUUCUUUUCUAUCCUAGGGAUUACUGCUCAUGAUUACCCCAUGUACUUCUUGUAUUUCCUCCUAAACCAUUGGCGUGACAUUUGGCAUUAGUAAUAUUUUAUAACACGGACUUAAAAGACUUUGGCAAGCAUCGUCUCUAAACCAUUUAGUAGGAUGAUGUUCUUUCUCUUGGUUGUUUUCAUUGUUGUGUGUAAUUUUUUUAAAGAGAAAAAGCAUGAAGCUGUUAAAAGAUCUUGAGUCUCUUCAAAAUAGCCAAGGCUGAGUUUUGUUUAGGGUUGCUAAAAGAUUGUAAUAUGAUUUUGAAACAGAUGAUAAUCAAGAUGUAGAUAAGAUGUUUUAACCUGUCUUUUAAUAUAUGUUAGUUAGAUUAAGAUGUUCGAUAUUAAGUUUGUAAAUUUAAUUUUAAAUGCUGUUUUAAUGGGGUUGAAAACAAGCAGCUACUGUAUGUAUGUAGCUAACUGAAUUUGUUUCAGUGUUUUAACCUGUAUUUGUUUAAACAAAAAACAACACAUAAAGUUCCAUGUGUAAGCUUCUCUCUAAAUAGGAAACCACAAUUUUGUCAAAUAUGUUUGCCAUAAUUUGUCAAUAAAGCUGAAACCUUUUGUAACAAACUAAAUUUGGAAUUACUUGUUUUCUAGCUUUAAAUGCUUGCUUUAUUUCUUCUUCAAGAGAUGCCUAAACUGUUUUAUAUUUAAAAUUACAAAAAUGAACCCAAGCCUGUUUUAAGAAUUUUGUGUAAGACUUUAAAAGUUGUAUUAAUAACUUAUGGUUGUUAAAUAAUUUAAAAGUUAACAAACUAAACUGUUACUUGAAUCAUGGUUAGUAAACACUAAUGUAUAACAUGUUAAUGGAAAAAAUGGAUUUAGACUAAUAAAUGGAUUUUAAACUA